rnacentral:rRNA from 1 species
AGUGAACGCUGGCGGCGUGCUUAACACAUGCAAGUCGAACGAGAACGGAUUAUAGCUUGCUAUAAUUGUCAGCUAAGUGGCGCACGGGUGAGUAAUGUAUAGGUAAUAUGCCUCUUACUAAGGGAUAACAAAUGGAAACGUUUGCUAAUACCUUAUACUCCUUAUUAACAGAAGUUAAUAAGGGAAAGAUUUAUUGGUAAGAGAUUAGCCUGUAUUGUAUCAGUUAGUUGGUGGGGUAAUGGCUUACCAAGACUAUGACACAUAACUGGUUUGAGAGGAUGAGCCGUCACACUGGAACUGAGACACGGUCCAGACUCCUACGGGAGGCAGCAGUGGGGAAUAUUGCACAAUGGACGAAAGUCUGAUGCAGCAACGCCGCGUGGAGGAUGACACAUUUCGGUACGUAAACUCCUUUUAUAUGAGAAGAUAAUGACGGUAUUAUAUGAAUAAGCACCGGCUAACUCCGUGCCAGCCGCCGCCGUAA